ACAACAAUUAAUACAUACUUAAUCAUCAAUACAUAUCCAACCACCAAAACAUCGAACUAGUCUAUACUAUUUUCAAGAAAUUUCGAUAAAAUUUCCUUUAAAAAUAAAUAUCCAGAAAAUUCUAAACCUGUCUACAAAACUUACAAUCAUCAAUAUAUAUCCAACCACCAAAAAAACCAUCAUUCCAUACCAAAAAAUCAUCAUAACCAUGUAUAAUUAGUUAACCUUACAUAAGACGGAACACAAAAAAUACAAACGUACAGAAAAUAGAGAAACAACAUGUUGCAUAAGACCCAUUAUUUUACAGCUUACACCAAGUAUCCUUCAAUGUAUACCUGAAAAUAUUUGAAAUAUAAAAUUUAUCAAAAUAUGUGAGUCAAAAUAAAACAAUUGUAAAUUUGAAACAUAAGAACCCUUACUUUACCCUGAAUUAUCUAAAAAAUAAAUGACAAGGCAACAAAUAACAUUCAUCCAAGUGAUACCAAAAAUUUGAGUAAAUAGCAAAACACUGAUGAGUGAUGACGUAUAAAUGAAUUAUUGCUAUGAUACAUUUAGGACCAAGUACUCAAGUAGAAGCUAUAGAAAUAAUAGAACAAACCCUUUCUAUCCUCCUUAGAUUUGCGUCCCAAGCUGCGAGUUCUUUCUAUUUUUUCUUCGGAUCCUGCAAAAUUAGAAAUAGCAAUGUCAUUACAUUCAUGGCAUCCAAUGGUAUAUCCACAAUUGCAUCUUGUUUUUGGCCAAAACCCAGGGUAUUAACAACCAUUUGAGGAAUGCGUGACUUUGAUUCAGGAGCAACAUUCCCAUUAUACAACAAAUACCAAUAUAUAUAGAAAACAUUUAAAAAACAUAUACAAAGAAAAGUAAAUAACAUCCAAACUGCAUCCCAAAACUAUCUCAAGUCAUAAAUGAUUAUAUAAAGUCAUCUAGAAAAUCGAUCGAGGCAUUUAUAGGACUGUUGUGCAGUAAUAACGCAUUUAGUUAUAGUAAUAAAUUUUAAUUAGGAUAUUGGAUUUAAUUAGAUCUUAGUUAGAAGAUUAUUUAUUUUUUAUAGUAGGAGUGUUCUGAUACAAAGAGUGUAAUGUUUAUUAUUUCUCAAAUUAUUGAAUAUAUUAAUUUGAGAUUAAAACUUCAUGCUUUUGUGUGUUUCUCUAGAAAUUCUCAGUGGGGAUAGAUACACUUGUUCAUUCUUUUCACCUUGCCCUACAUUAGAAUCUCUUCCACAUCUCAUACUCCAUGAUUGAAGAUAGACCCCGACAUUGUAGAUACUCAACACAUAUGUCGUUGAACCAGUUGGAAAACCAUACUCGUCGACACUAUCUGCAAUCCCCACCUAUCAUCUGCAUGCAAAGAUCUCACCAUCGAUGGCACCAUCUUCUCCAAAUUUGGUGCCACCGGCGUUCCAAAACAUCAUCAUCUUCCAACACCACUAUUGAUUCUACCACUACUGUGAAAAGCCAAAACCUACUAAUUAGUGUUCUUUGAUGAUUUGUGUGAAAAACUCCACAAUAGUACACAUUGUUAUCGUUAUGGGUGUUAAUUUUAUUUUUGAAACUAUAGAUGGAUCAAGAUCCUUGAAAAAUUAGAAAAGAGGAAAAAAAUAACAUUGAGGAAAUAAACCCUCUCUCUAUGUGUGUUAAGAAAUUGAACAAACAUGGAGGAGGAUGGUGGUGUGGAGAAGCAAUGCUAGGUAGUGGCGGCAUCGCAAACAUGAAAGAGGAUGGCUCGAAUCUAUUGAGGAAGAUAACUGAUAGGAAAGUUUCAUGAAUUUAAUUAUUUUCAAUUUUUACUUGCAAAUUCAAAGUUGAAUCUGCUUCAGGCGUCUUAAAGACAACAUCUGCUUUCCCCUACACCACAUGCACAACUCAAGUCAAUAAAUAAUAUUGUAUAGCCAUAAUACAUAUAUAUAGAUAUAUAUAUAAUAAAUAAAUAAAAACAAUGCGAUUAGCCGAUUACAAUAUGCAUUUGUUUAAGAUGUAUAUGUAAAGUUUGUAGGUUAAUGUAAGCAAUUUGAAAGUACUACCAGGUUUCACGACAAACUUCGUUUAGUUAUUCAAAUAAAAAAAAUCAUAGUUUAUUCCAUUCACUUGGAGGCAAUAGAAGUACUCAAACGAAAUGCUAACGAAUUGACAUAAAUUAAAUUAAAUUUUAGCCAGUAAACCCCACAUCUUCUAUGAAUUAGCUGCUAAGAACAUAAUACAAAAGUUCCACUUACAAUUACAUAAUCCCAAGUAGUGACUGUAAUAUAUAAGAUAGUAAUUCUCUUAGAAAGUCCCCCAAAAUUCUGUAUUGAAGAAAAUACAAUGGUGUAGUAAUCCAAUUUAAAAUAAGAUUAAUGAUAACCUUUUUGCUGGUAGAGGACACACACAAACAAAAAAAACACAUUUUACCAAAAGAUUGCAAUCAAUCUACCUUAAUUGAUUUCAAGUUAAUCUUCUAGUGGGUUUUGCAUUUGCAACAACCUAUCUUUUUUUACAUACCAAAAGAGGUACUUACUUCUUCCCCUCAUAAGUUCAUAAGUGAACCCACUGAAUAUUAACUUCUAAUUCAACAAAUAUAUGUGGGUACAUAGCCACAUAAAUCAUUAAAAAUCAGCCUGACAAAUUAAAAAAUUAAAAUAAAAUUCAGCCAAACAAAUUAAAAUAAAUCAGUUCAACACCAAACAGAAUAAAACUAAAAGGGGUAUCAUAUCAUAGUCAAAACAUGAGAGAGAGAGGAACCUCUAGUCCGUAGAUUUUGACAAAUGGGUCGCUGCUGCUGUCUUUGUUUAUUUUAUUUUCUUGGGAAUUUUCGCAUUUAUUGUUCACAAAACUCAUAUUUUCUCUCUCUGGGAACAAUAAAUGGGUAUUUUUGGAGAGAGAAAACGUAGGAAAAGGGAUCGGCGCUCUGUAGUUGCUACCUUCCGGCUUCUUUAUACAGGGAUUUAGAAGGGGCAAUGUAUUGAACAUAUUUAUUCACCAAAAAAUUGCUUUUUAUUAAUUGUUAAUAAUAUAAAUCUAGUAUUUUUUUUAUAUUGAAAUUUAUAACAAAUUAUUAUGAAUGAGGUUGUGACAAUUUAUUUUUAUUUUUUUGCUAAAUGUUAUGACAAUUUUUAAGUUCAACUUGAACAUAAAAGACAGUUAUUCCCAUAAUUAAAAUAAGAUGCCCUCAAUAUCAUACCCUAAAACAAAGGAGGAGUAACUAUAUUUAUGAAAGUUUUUGAAAACUAAAAAUUUUAAAGUGUUUGGUUUCGGUGUUUUGGUUUUUGGUAUUUGGUAUUCCUGGGUUAUAUUGUGCAACAUUUAGCUGAUAAUACUGAAAAUAAGAAAAUAUGAAAUUGCAAAUUAUAAUACCUAGAAGAAGAAGAAUUUGAAACCAUCAUAACUAAAUCUCCUUCAGAUAAAUCAAGAGCACUCAGUCUCUCAGUAUUCCUUAUCUACUUCCCGUUGUACAGCAGUUGUUGUCACUGCAGUGGCACUUGCGUCUGCGUAUUACAUAAAACAAACACUGUAAAUCUGUAUACUUACAUAAAAAAUACAGUCAUAACUCAUAAAAAAUAUAGAGAACUUUCCUCUUCCCAUAUUUCCCUUCUAUACGCUCUUAUUGUAACCGUGAGAAUUCGAUUUAUGGUUUGCCUGAAAAAAUUAUUAGAAGAAUGAUUUCAAUUGCCGAUUUCAAUUGCUUCCUCCUCCUAUUUAAAAAUGAAGCCCUAAUCCCCUAACAGAGCAUUGAAUCCCCUAAAAGAGCAACAUAAGAAAAGGAAAAUUUUUGUCUUACUUCUCCCGUCUCCAUACUUGUUUUCCUGCUGUAUGUAGUGGGUGUUUUAAUGUCACUUUGAGAUUUCUUGCAAUGAAUAAUUAGCAAUAAUAAAGUAAGCCACAAGUGAUGGACCAAUCAUCCCAUGGUCUAAAGAAAUAGUCUUGUCCAGUUGUCCUGCAAACAAAAAUAAAUAAAUGUCACUGUCAAACUGCACAUUCUAGGAAGAAACAUGCAAAUACAAUCUAGAAGAUAAGGUAUAGGAAGCACCGCUUAAAUUGAUAAAUUCUGCAAAACUAUCAGUCUGUUGUCCUGUGCCUGGUAUCAGGACUCUACUCUGGAGCCUGGACUAUAAUGCAGAAUUGAAUAUUCCGCGAAGCUUAUGGCAAGUAGCAUAUAUUCCACGUAUAGAUAAAUAUUAUAUAUGGCCAGUAUACAUUACUUCAUUUCUAGUGGGUUACCAAUUUUCACUACAAAUUAUCUUUCACCUAACCUUUUCAAAC
rnacentral:lncRNA from 1 species